AAACUUUCAACAACGGAUCUCUUGGUUCCGGCAUCGAUGAAGAACGCAGCGAAAUGCGAUACGUAAUGUGAAUUGCAGAAUUCAGUGAAUCAUCGAGUCUUUGAACGCACAUUGCGCCCUCUGGUAUUCCGGAGGGCAUGCCUGUCCGAGCAUCAUU
rnacentral:rRNA from 1 species